AAGGUGGAAAGGAUAAAAAUCUAUAUUCAUGCCCUCUCAUGUUCCACAGAUAACCACCAAAGACGCUUCUUUUCAGAGUCAUCUCAGCGCCACGGCUAAGCUGUCAAUAAAACAUAAAAAGACCUUAAAUACGCAGACGACAGCCAUCCCCAGGGCAAGAGUAUUCACCUUACAGUCUGCAUCCGUCACUGAUUAUGCGGGAAUGGUGUGAUAUCUUCAUCACACACAUGAAUGCACAGGCGACAGAGCGCGGGGGGGUACGUCGGGAGACCAAUAUAACGCAGAGCGUUUUCAACUAAGCGGAACUACGUUCUUCAUCACCAAAAUCCGACCAGAACUGGACUUUGGAGACCAAGCGGUGGGGACACUACUCUGAUGCUGCAGGGACUCCAGACGGCCGCCAGCUAGCGAGCUAACAAGUCCCACCCACACUGUACGGCGAUGAAAACCUGUGACUGUGUGCGCGUGUCCAGAUGAGAGAGAGUGGGGAUUCCCUCGUAAAAUGAGACUACAGUAUCGCUGGCUACAUAACGACAUGUUUCUUUAUACUACUGGUCUCCGUGUCUACGGUCCAACAGGCCCUGGAGGAUUGCCCCACUAGUGAUCCUUGACUGGAGAAGCACCUGGAGUAUCAGUCAUCAUCUCAGAGGAUUACGUGAGUGCAAAGUGACGCAGCAAGGCAAUAUCAAUAAUAUCACAGUUAGCGCUACCAUACCAGACACUGGGAUGAUUGCCUUUCCCCACAGAGACGAUAAACUCGGUUACAUUUUAAUCUCCCAUCCAGUCGAAGCGCACUGAUUUACUGUAUCGAAAUGAAAUGGAGUGGUCCGCUUGCACCACUGUGACACAAACUGGAACACAUCUGACAGAGGAGUAAUUGGUGGAAAUGAAUGUUGCGCUGUGUGGCUUGUUUAUUCUGUAUAAAACAAAUGUAAUUAUUCAUAAGCAGAUGACAGUAACAGCAGCAAAAAAAAAACAAUAAAUUCACCUGAGGGACUUUGCCUUAACCACAGCAGCUUUUUAUUAAGAUGUCAAAUCACAGAUAAGAUGUUAUUUACUGGCCUUGUUAUUUACUCGUACUUGUAAAUCUGGUUGCUAGCGGUUUAUCUGUGUUAAUCCCCUAAAAUGCCCUCAUAGUAAUCCCUGCUAAGUGUGCAUUUAAUGGCAUUUUUUUCCAGAUAGAAAGUCAAUUCUGGGAUGUGCAUG